GUCUACGGUCAUACCACCCUGAAUGUGCCUGAUCUCGUCUGAUCUCGUAAGCUAAGCAGGGUCGGGCCUGGUUAAUACUUGGAUGCGAGUCAUACUCCAGAGAAACCCCAUAAAAACGACA
rnacentral:rRNA from 1 species